CCUACGGGAGGCAGCAGUGAGGAAUAUUGGUCAAUGGACGCAAGUCUGAACCAGCCAUGCCGCGUGCAGGAAGACGGCUCUAUGAGUUGUAAACUGCUUUUGUACGAGGAUAAACGCAGAUACGCGUAUCUGUCUGAAAGUAUCGUACGAAUAAGGAUCGGCUAAAUCCGUGCCAGCAGCCGCGGUAAUACGGAGGAUUCAAGCGUUAUCCGGAUUUAUUGGGUUUAAAGGGUGCGUAGGCGGUCUGAUAAGUUAGCGGUGAAAUCCCGGGGCUCAACUUCGGAAUUGCCUCUGAAACUGUGCGGCUAGAGAGUAGUUGCGGUAGGCGGAAGGUAUGGUGUAGCGGUGAAAUGCUUAGAGAUCAUACAGAACACCGAUUGCGAAGGCAGCUUACCAAGCUACUUCUGACGUUGAGGCACGAAAGCGUGGGGAGCAAACAGGAUUAGAUACCCGAGUAGUC
rnacentral:rRNA from 1 species